rnacentral:rRNA from 1 species
AUGUCCUUUUUUGAUUCUACUCCUAUAGGCAGGAUUCUUAGCCGGGGUAAGAAAAGCCUGAAACAAAUGACCGAUAUGGUAAUUACAGUUCUGUUUCACAUUCAUUUUCUAAUGAUGGAUUAUCCCCUGCAGGUCUCUUCAGAUUUGAGUAUCAUUGAUCUUGAUGUUCCAUUUGCCUUCAUGUUUACCUUUAGUGCCAGCUUAACUACAUAUAGCAAUCUGGUAGUGUUGGCUGUUGUCACAUGGCAAGUUCUGUUUGUAUCGUCGCCGAUGAUAGUUUUGGCAAUUCGGUUGCAGAUGUUUUCUCACAAUUCUGAUUGA